GACGAACGCUGGCGGCGUGCUUAACACAUGCAAGUCGAGCGGUAAGGCCCUUUCGGGGUACGACGGCGGCGAACGGGUGAGUAACACGUGGGUGACCUGCCCUCAGCUCUGGGAGUAAGCCUGGGAAACCGGGUCUAAUACUGGAUAUGACUCCAUGACGCAUGUUGUGGGGUGGAAAGCCUUGUGCGGCUGAGGAUGGGCCCGCGGCCUAUCAGCUUGUUGGUGGGGUGAGGCCUACCAAGGCGACGACGGGUAGCCGGCCUGAGAGGGCGACCGGCCACACUGGGACUGAGACACGGCCCAGACUCCUACGGGAGGCAGCAGUGGGGAAGUCUUGCGCAAUGGGCGAAAGCCUGACGCAGCGACGCCGCGUGAGGGAU
rnacentral:rRNA from 1 species